UACAGAGGGUGCGAGCGUUAAUCGGAAUUACUGGGCGUAAAGCGCGCGUAGGCGGCUUUGCAAGUCGGGUGUGAAAUCCCCAGGCUUAACCUGGGAACUGCAUUCGAGACUGCAUUGCUAGAGUAUGGGAGAGGGAAGUGGAAUUUCCGGUGUAGCGGUGAAAUGCGUAGAUAUCAGGAGGAACACCAGUGGCGAAGGCGGCCAACUGGUCCGGUACUGACGCUGAGGUGCGAAAGCGUGGGGAGCAAACAGG
rnacentral:rRNA from 1 species